UUCACAGUAAUGGAAAGCCUAAGACAACCC
rnacentral:piRNA from 1 species